rnacentral:rRNA from 1 species
UACGAAGGGGGCUAGCGUUGUUCGGAUUUACUGGGCGUAAAGCGCACGUAGGCGGAUCGUUAAGUGAGGGGUGAAAUCCCAGGGCUCAACCCUGGAACUGCCUUUCAUACUGGCGAUCUUGAGUCCGGAAGAGGUGAGUGGAACUCCUAGUGUAGAGGUGGAAUUCGUAGAUAUUAGGAAGAACACCAGUGGCGAAGGCGGCACUCUGGGCCGGUACUGACGCUGAGGAGCGAAAGCGUGGGGAGCAAACAGG